rnacentral:rRNA from 1 species
GACGAACGCUGGCGGCGUGCUUAACACAUGCAAGUCGAACGGAAAGGCCCUGCUUUUGUGGGGUGCUCGAGUGGCGAACGGGUGAGUAACACGUGAGUAACCUGCCCUUGACUUUGGGAUAACUUCAGGAAACUGGGGCUAAUACCGGAUAGGAGCUCCUGCUGCAUGGUGGGGGUUGGAAAGUUUCGGCGGUUGGGGAUGGACUGGCGGCUUAUCAGCUUGUUGGUGGGGUAGUGGCUUACCAAGGCUUUGACGGGUAGCCGGCCUGAGAGGGUGACCGGCCACAUUGGGACUGAGAUACGGCCCAGACGCCUACGGGAGGCAGAAGUGGGGAAUAUUGCACAAUGGGCGGAAGCCUGAUGCGGCAACGCCGGGUGCGGGAUGACGGCCUUCGGGUUGUAAACCGCUUUCGCCUGUGACGAAGCGUGAGUGACGGUAAUGGGUAAAGAAGCACCGGCUAACUACGUG